rnacentral:tRNA from 1 species
GCCGGUGUUGCUCAGUGGUUAGAGCAUCAGCUCGCUGAAGGGUCUUGGGUUUGAUUCCCAGUCAAGGGCA